UAGGAUGAUUCAUUCAUGAAGUUUCAGGGUAAUUAAAUUAAAUUUUGGGCCGCGUUCUUUUUUAAUGCGUUAACCAUGUAAAAAAUGGGAUGUUCUUCCUUAAUUAUACUUUGACUAAGCGAAUAUGGCUAAUCCUAACUGUUUGCGCGCAACGCGAAUCGGCGCCGUUGCUGGGACAUGUGGAUGCGAGCAACCGUGGACCAUCUGAUCCCACGCAAUUACCCCUCUUUCCAUUUUCCUCCGGGCAUACGGCCGGAAUACAAUCAAAUCGUAUCUGCACCAUGCCUAUGACCUACCCCGCUCACACGUUCCCUCAACAACCAGCCAAACUCCUCCUCUCUCUCCGUCAUCUCAGAUCCAGCCGCCCCUUCCAUCUCCUCUUCCACAACCAGCCACCGUCCCGAUCUGAAGGUCUCCGACCAGAUCAGCCUCCUCCCCACCACGGCGUGCGGCGAGGAGUCCCCGGAUCGCUCGCCGUCACCCAGUGCGGUGCAUAUCUGGUAGUCCGCCCUCACCAAGCAUUCGAUGCGUUGACGGCUCCUAGCACCAGAUACCGCGACGAACGAGCUGUGUUCUGCCUCCUCCGGCUGCCGAGGACCACGGACGCCACUUCGUCUCACCGGCUGGCUCAACAUCAGCACCGACCACUACUCACAGUUAAUCCCCCAUUCCCCGCUUGCCAAAUCUAGGAGUUGUAUUACUAGGUGUGCAAAAUUGUUGCUACGUCAUGGAUCUAGUAGCACAUGGAUCUAUCACUUUUGCUCUUGGUCUUGUGUUCUCCAGUGCGUGAUGAAUUUGUAUGAUGCGGGUGCUAUUCAACUAUUCUUCCAUUUAUUCUGUUUCUUGCUUCUGAUUUGAUCUUUCUAAACUUGCCUACUUUCAAGGAUGAUGAUGAAAUGGAGGCUGGACGACGUCUGCCACACGAGUUAACAUGCCAGGCUCCUGACUUACUUUAGUUCAUGUCUUCAUGACCAGCAAGUUGUCCUGGUUCCUGCAUAGAUUGUAAUUUUGUAGGCAGAAUUGUACAAGAACUUUUCGGAUGUCCCACUCGUACUUUGCAGAAUUUUGACGAAGGACUUGUAUGUUUUAACAGAACUCUGUUUUACAGAGUAGACACUCUGAAUAAAUUGCUGACGAACUUUAUUUUUGUA